UAAUGGACUUGAAGAUGUUGAAAAUAAUAAUGCAAUAUGACAAAACAGCAGUUUACUCAAGGAAUGGAGACGCAUGGAUUCACUUAUCUCACACGUGGGAAAGUAUCAACAUCCUACAUUAAUGGACUGGAGGAGGUCGAGAAUAUUGCAGGUUUAAUGCAGUCUACGUAUAAUAGUUACUCAAAGUAAUUAAAAUCAAUUGAUAGAAGUGCAUCAAAAAGAUGGUGUCAUGAAACCCUGACCAUUACAUUAAAAGGCAGUACGGCAGAUCACUCAAGUCACGCUGAUACAUGAAUUCACAUUUCUCACGCGUGGGAUAGUAUCAACAGCCUACGUUGCAAAUGGACUAGAAGAUGCUGAGAAUAAUACGUGUUAUAUGCAAUAUGGCAGUACGGCAGUUCACUUAAGGAAUUCUGACGCAUGGAUUCACUUAUCUCACACGUGGGAAAGUAUCAACAUCCUAUGUUGCAAAUGGACUAGAAGAUGCUGAGAAUAAUACGUGUUA